GGUUAAGCGACUAAGCGUACACGGUGGAUGCCCUGGCAGUCAGAGGCGAUGAAGGGCGUGCUAAUCUGCGAUAAGCGCCGGUAAGGUGAUAUGAACCGUUAUAACCGGCGAUACCCGAAUGGGGAAACCCAGUGUGAUUCGUCACACUAUCAUUAACUGAAUCCAUAGGUUAAUGAGGCGAACCGGGGGAACUGAAACAUCUAAGUACCCCGAGGAAAAGAAAUCAACCGAGAUUCCCCCAGUAGCGGCGAGCGAACGGGGAGGAGCCCAGAGCCUGAAUCAGCAUGUGUGUUAGUGGAAGCGUCUGGAAAGGCGCGCGAUACAGGGUGACAGCCCCGUACACAAAAGCGCAUGUGCUGUGAGCUCGAUGAGUAGGGCGGGACACGUGGUAUCCUGUCUGAAUAUGGGGGGACCAUCCUCCAAGGCUAAAUACUCCUGACUGACCGAUAGUGAACCAGUACCGUGAGGGAAAGGCGAAAAGAACCCCGGCGAGGGGAGUGAAAAAGAACCUGAAACCGUGUACGUACAAGCAGUGGGAGCACAGGUUUACCUGUGUGACUGCGUACCUUUUGUAUAAUGGGUCAGCGACUUAUAUUCUGUAGCAAGGUUAACCGUAUAGGGGAGCCGUAGGGAAACCGAGUCUUAACCGGGCGUUAAGUUGCAGGGUAUAGACCCGAAACCCGGUGAUCUAGCCAUGGGCAGGUUGAAGGUUGGGUAACACUAACUGGAGGACCGAACCGACUAAUGUUGAAAAAUUAGCGGAUGACCUGUGGCUGGGGGUGAAAGGCCAAUCAAACCGGGAGAUAGCUGGUUCUCCCCGAAAGCUAUUUAGGUAGCGCCUCGUGAAUUCAUCUCCGGGGGUAGAGCACUGUUUCGGCUAGGGGGCCAUCCCGGCUUACCAACCCGAUGCAAACUGCGAAUACCGGAGAAUGUUAUCACGGGAGACACACGGCGGGUGCUAACGUCCGUCGUGAAGAGGGAAACAACCCAGACCGCCAGCUAAGGUCCCAAAGUCAUGGUUAAGUGGGAAACGAUGUGGGAAGGCCCAGACAGCCAGGAUGUUGGCUUAGAAGCAGCCAUCAUUUAAAGAAAGCGUAAUAGCUCACUGGUCGAGUCGGCCUGCGCGGAAGAUGUAACGGGGCUAAACCAUGCACCGAAGCUGCGGCAGCGAACGUAUCACUUAAAGCGAUUCAGCGGGUUACGAUUGACGGAGCGAAGCGACGUCAAAGCGUAUACAAAGUCGAGUCGGUUUAAGGAUACGUUCGUUGGGUAGGGGAGCGUUCUGUAAGCCUGUGAAGGUGUGUCGUGAGGCAUGCUGGAGGUAUCAGAAGUGCGAAUGCUGACAUAAGUAACGAUAAAGCGGGUGAAAAGCCCGCUCGCCGGAAGACCAAGGGUUCCUGUCCAACGUUAAUCGGGGCAGGGUGAGUCGACCCCUAAGGCGAGGCCGAAAGGCGUAGUCGAUGGGAAACGGGUUAAUAUUCCCGUACUUGGUGUUACUGCGAAGGGGGGACGGAGAAGGCUAUGUUGGCCGGGCGACGGUUGUCCCGGUUUAAGCGUGUAGGUGUGUGUUCCAGGUAAAUCCGGUUCACUUUAACACUGAGGCGUGAUGACGAGGCACUACGGUGCUGAAGCAACAAAUGCCCUGCUUCCAGGAAAAGCCUCUAAGCAUCAGGUAACAUCAAAUCGUACCCCAAACCGACACAGGUGGUCAGGUAGAGAAUACCAAGGCGCUUGAGAGAACUCGGGUGAAGGAACUAGGCAAAAUGGUGCCGUAACUUCGGGAGAAGGCACGCUGACACGUAGGUGAAGUGAUUUACUCACGGAGCUGAAGUCAGUCGAAGAUACCAGCUGGCUGCAACUGUUUAUUAAAAACACAGCACUGUGCAAACACGAAAGUGGACGUAUACGGUGUGACGCCUGCCCGGUGCCGGAAGGUUAAUUGAUGGGGUCAGCGCAAGCGAAGCUCCUGAUCGAAGCCCCGGUAAACGGCGGCCGUAACUAUAACGGUCCUAAGGUAGCGAAAUUCCUUGUCGGGUAAGUUCCGACCUGCACGAAUGGCGUAAUGAUGGCCAGGCUGUCUCCACCCGAGACUCAGUGAAAUUGAACUCGCUGUGAAGAUGCAGUGUACCCGCGGCAAGACGGAAAGACCCCGUGAACCUUUACUAUAGCUUGACACUGAACAUUGAGCCUUGAUGUGUAGGAUAGGUGGGAGGCUUUGAAGUGUGGACGCCAGUCUGCAUGGAGCCGACCUUGAAAUACCACCCUUUAAUGUUUGAUGUUCUAACGUGGACCCGUGAUCCGGGUUGCGGACAGUGUCUGGUGGGUAGUUUGACUGGGGCGGUCUCCUCCUAAAGAGUAACGGAGGAGCACGAAGGUUGGCUAAUCCUGGUCGGACAUCAGGAGGUUAGUGCAAUGGCAUAAGCCAGCUUGACUGCGAGCGUGACGGCGCGAGCAGGUGCGAAAGCAGGUCAUAGUGAUCCGGUGGUUCUGAAUGGAAGGGCCAUCGCUCAACGGAUAAAAGGUACUCCGGGGAUAACAGGCUGAUACCGCCCAAGAGUUCAUAUCGACGGCGGUGUUUGGCACCUCGAUGUCGGCUCAUCACAUCCUGGGGCUGAAGUAGGUCCCAAGGGUAUGGCUGUUCGCCAUUUAAAGUGGUACGCGAGCUGGGUUUAGAACGUCGUGAGACAGUUCGGUCCCUAUCUGCCGUGGGCGCUGGAGAACUGAGGGGGGCUGCUCCUAGUACGAGAGGACCGGAGUGGACGCAUCACUGGUGUUCGGGUUGUCAUGCCAAUGGCACUGCCCGGUAGCUAAAUGCGGAAGAGAUAAGUGCUGAAAGCAUCUAAGCACGAAACUUGCCCCGAGAUGAGUUCUCCCUGAGACUUUAGGUCUCCUGAAGGAACGUUGAAGACGACGACGUUGAUAGGCCGGGUGUGUAAGCGCAGCGAUGCGUUGAGCUAACCGGUACUAAUGAACCGUGAGGCUUAACCUU
rnacentral:rRNA from 1 species